rnacentral:tRNA from 1 species
AGGGGCAUAGCUCAGUUGGUAGAGCGGCGGUCUCCAAAACCGUAGGCCGAGGGUUCAAGUCCUUCUGCCCCUGCCA